rnacentral:rRNA from 1 species
AACGAACGCUGGCGGCAGGCCUAACACAUGCAAGUCGAACGCGUGUAGCAAUACACGAGUGGCGCACGGGUGAGUAACACGUGGGAAUCAACCCAGAGGUUCGGAAUAACCGCGGGAAACUGCGGCUAAUACCGGAUAUCCCCUACGGGGGAAAGAUUUAUCGCCUUUGGACGAGCCCGCGUCCGAUUAGCUAGUUGGUGAGGUAACGGCUCACCAAGGCUACGAUCGGUAGCUGGUCUGAGAGGAUGACCAGCCACACUGGAACUGAGAUACGGUCCGGACUCCUACGGGAGGCAGCAGUGGGGAAUAUUGGGCAAUGGAGGCAACUCUGACCCAGCCAUGCCGCGUGGGUGACGAAGGUCUUCGGAUUGUAAAGCCCUUUCGGCGGGGACGAUGAUGACGGUACCCGCAGAAGAAGCCCCGGCUAACUUCGUGCCAGCCGCCGCUGUAAGAC